rnacentral:tRNA from 1 species
UGGUUCAGUUGGUAGAGCAUGGUGUUUGCAAUGCCAGGGUUGUGGGUUUGAUUCCCAU